rnacentral:tRNA from 1 species
UUAAUUGAAACCAAAAUUAGAGGUAUACUACUGUUAAUAGUAAAAAUGAGUUCUAACUCCAAUUAAA